GCCAGGUGUGGUUAUGCACACCUGUAGCCCAGUUACUCGGGAGGCUGAGGCAGGAGGAUCACUUGAACCCAGGGAGGUUGAGGCUGCAGUGAACCGUGAUCAUGCCACUGCACUCCAGCCUGGGUGACAGAGUGAGACCCUGUUUCAA
rnacentral:SRP_RNA from 1 species